GGGAAGGUAGCUCAGCUGGGAGAGCACACGGCUGAAGACCGUGGGGUCGGGGGUUCAACUCCCCCUCUUCCCA
rnacentral:tRNA from 1 species